AUCUUUGCGCUUGGGCCAAUGACGCAGCUUAUGAGGUCAUACCGAGAGCUGUAUCAAUUGCUGGUUCAAAACUAUUUCCAAACCCCCUCUUCGGCCAUCUGGCCCACUGAGAAUUUCUGGAAGGCUCCUCUUCAGAAAAGGGGAGG
rnacentral:snRNA from 1 species